CCUACGGGAGGCAGCAGUGAGGAAUAUUGGUCAAUGGACGAGAGUCUGAACCAGCCAAGUAGCGUGAAGGAUGACUGCCCUAUGGGUUGUAAACUUCUUUUAUAAGGGAAUAAAAUAAGCCACGUGUGCCUUUUUGUAUGUACCUUAUGAAUAAGGAUCGGCUAACUCCGUGCCAGCAGCCGCGGUAAUACGGAGGAUCCGAGCGUUAUCCGGCUUUAUUGGGGUUACAGGGAGCGUAGGUGGAUUGUUAAGUCAGUUGUGAAAGUUUGCGGCUCAAACGUAAAAUUGCAAUUGAUACUGGCAGUCUUGAGUACAGUAGAGGUAGGCGGAAUGCGUGGUGUAGCGGUGAAAUGCUUAGAUAUCACGAAGAACCCCGAUUGCGAAGGCAGCUUACUGAACUGCGACUGACAUUGAGGCUCGAAAGUGUGGGUAUCAAACAGGAUUAGAUACCCGUGUAGUC
rnacentral:rRNA from 1 species